AUGGCUCGUGGCGUGGGUCAUAUACACGAAGACAAUGCGUACAAAAUAUACGGAAGAUACAGCUCCGAUGCGGCACUUGAUUAUGUCUCGGACUUUAUUCUUGUCGUAGUGCCAUCAUCAUCCGAGAGCUAUGACCCGAUAACGAUCACCAUGGGGUCAUGUGUAUCUAGUAGUGUAGAUAGUACUGGUUUCAUGCUGGAAAGGCAGGCAGGAUGCUAG
rnacentral:rRNA from 1 species